rnacentral:rRNA from 2 species
CGAACGCUGGCGGCGUGCCUAAUACAUGCAAGUCGAACGAACUCUGGUAUUGAUUGGUGCUUGCAUCAUGAUUUACAUUUGAGUGAGUGGCGAACUGGUGAGUAACACGUGGGAAACCUGCCCAGAAGCGGGGGAUAACACCUGGAAACAGAUGCUAAUACCGCAUAACAACUUGGACCGCAUGGUCCGAGUUUGAAAGAUGGCUUCGGCUAUCACUUUUGGAUGGUCCCGCGGCGUAUUAGCUAGAUGGUGGGGUAACGGCUCACCAUGGCAAUGAUACGUAGCCGACCUGAGAGGGUAAUCGGCCACAUUGGGACUGAGACACGGCCCAAACUCCUACGGGAGGCAGCAGUAGGGAAUCUUCCACAAUGGACGAAAGUCUGAUGGAGCAACGCCGCGUGAGUGAAGAAGGGUUUCGGCUCGUAAAACUCUGUUGUUAAAGAAGAACAUAUCUGAGAGUAACUGUUCAGGUAUUGACGGUAUUUAACCAGAAAGCCACGGCUAACUACGUGCCAGCAGCCGCGGUAAUACGUAGGUGGCAAGCGUUGUCCGGAUUUAUUGGGCGUAAAGCGAGCGCAGGCGGUUUUUUAAGUCUGAUGUGAAAGCCUUCGGCUCAACCGAAGAAGUGCAUCGGAAACUGGGAAACUUGAGUGCAGAAGAGGACAGUGGAACUCCAUGUGUAGCGGUGAAAUGCGUAGAUAUAUGGAAGAACACCAGUGGCGAAGGCGGCUGUCUGGUCUGUAACUGACGCUGAGGCUCGAAAGUAUGGGUAGCAAACAGGAUUAGAUACCCUGGUAGUCCAUACCGUAAACGAUGAAUGCUAAGUGUUGGAGGGUUUCCGCCCUUCAGUGCUGCAGCUAACGCAUUAAGCAUUCCGCCUGGGGAGUACGGCCGCAAGGCUGAAACUCAAAGGAAUUGACGGGGGCCCGCACAAGCGGUGGAGCAUGUGGUUUAAUUCGAAGCUACGCGAAGAACCUUACCAGGUCUUGACAUACUAUGCAAAUCUAAGAGAUUAGACGUUCCCUUCGGGGACAUGGAUACAGGUGGUGCAUGGUUGUCGUCAGCUCGUGUCGUGAGAUGUUGGGUUAAGUCCCGCAACGAGCGCAACCCUUAUUAUCAGUUGCCAGCAUUAAGUUGGGCACUCUGGUGAGACUGCCGGUGACAAACCGGAGGAAGGUGGGGAUGACGUCAAAUCAUCAUGCCCCUUAUGACCUGGGCUACACACGUGCUACAAUGGAUGGUACAACGAGUUGCGAACUCGCGAGAGUAAGCUAAUCUCUUAAAGCCAUUCUCAGUUCGGAUUGUAGGCUGCAACUCGCCUACAUGAAGUCGGAAUCGCUAGUAAUCGCGGAUCAGCAUGCCGCGGUGAAUACGUUCCCGGGCCUUGUACACACCGCCCGUCACACCAUGAGAGUUUGUAACACCCAAAGUCGGUGGGGUAACCUUUUAGGAACCAGCCGCCUAAGGUGGGACAGAUGA